AUUAUAUUAUGUUUCUGAAUCUGAAGUUCAUAUGCAUAUAUGUAUAUAUGGUUUCUUAUGCAGAAAUAAGAGGAGUAAAGGAAAAUAAAAAAGGUCUUUCUCUUUCCCAGAGUUUCAGAGGACAUCUGGAGGUAUAUAUGUUCUGGAGCCAGAGGAGAAAAAAAGGGACAGAUAUAUUGUGUCCAUUCCUUCUUACCAAUCACGGUGUGAAAGUGAGGACCUGUUUUAUUCUGCCUUAUGACUGGUCACUGCCAAGGUACAACUGA
rnacentral:lncRNA from 1 species